ensembl:lncRNA
CACAGAGGAAGGAUCUCUAUCUGGAGAUCACCCCUCUUGGAGCCCUUCUGCAAGCCAGGCCAUGGGUGUAAAAGAGAACCACCACCAUCGCUACAUUUGUUGUAUGCACUGCGUAGAGUUCUUCCAAAUGGUACAAAGGAUGUGAACAAAAUGACUUCCUGUGUUAACACAUACUUCAAAUGUCAAGUUAGGUCCACCAGGAAAAAGCAUGCUUCAUUCAAAUGGAGGGACAGACACAGAACAGAAACCCAGAUCUGGAAUCUGGUGAGAACAGGAAGGGAAAAGAGAAAACCCAAACCCUGGGGCCGUGGAGGUGUUCACGCUGCUGCUUUGCCCUGUGUGCCUCUGCCUCCAUCGCGAGCGGCUCUUGUGGGGGGCUGGCAAACUCCUCCGAGGGAACAAAAGCAUCUCACAACGUCUGCGUUCAACUCAAACCACAUCUUCAGGGAUUCUGAGAAGGACUGAAUCCUACCAAGGAAGUUUUGCCAUUCUAUUUCCCCCUCAUCUCCAGUUACUUCCUGCCUUUUGCACAGCUUUGGGCUAGCCAGGUGCUUUCUAGGAGAGAAAAAUCAGAGCUGUUACCACUGUUCAGUCCCAACAACACUUCCACAGUCUGUUUGGGAUGAGGCCAUCUGGUGAAUCCCCACAACUCAGCCCCUUCACGGUGGUUUUGCACUGUGACCAGAGAUGACACACAACGGGAUGUAACCGCCUGCAUUUUGCAUGGAGGAAUGGGGAGGUGCAGUGCUCUGCCUGAGCACACAGUAAAUCUGUGGCGGAGCCAGAAGCCUUAAGAACGAGCCUUGUAUUCAAAGCAAAAUACCCUCCUUCUGCCAAGCCAAGAAAGAGUGAAAGGAGAGGGCAGCAGAUCAUUUCAUCCAUUGGAGGAGAAGGGGGUACAACGCCAUUCAUGGGCUGAUGGUGAGGUUCCUCCCUGCAAAUUCUGUUGUUUGCCCUUCCAUGGGUUGCUCAGCACAACACUGCCCUCAGCUCCUUAUUCGCAUACCUUCCACCCUUCCCUUGCCCCAUCAGCCCCACAGCUGUCUGAAACGUUAUGCAUAAACAAACUACCAUAAGACUAUUUAUUUCAGAGUUUCCAGUAAUCUCUUUUUGUUUCUCCUCCUUCAUAUCUGUGGUCCAGUUUCAAAGAAUCCAACAUGCAAUUUGGAAAGCUGAAUAUUCUGUGAUUCAUCCAUGAUUGUUUCAUAGCAGAUUAAUGUGCUGCUAUAGCAAGAAGACAUAAGUAAUUAGGUGCUUGUUGAUUUAUUUGUUGCUGUUAAUAUUUGUUCACAAUUUAGCCUUUUUUCUUCUAAUGUCUGUGAAUUGCUCAUAAACGACUCUGCUUUUGUUACAGCAGUCAUUAUUUAAUGUAUGUUUGUCUGAGCCUGGAAGCAACAUCUCCAGUUUGCUGGGCUUGGUGCAAUGUGAUCAUUCCUGCUCUCAGUGUGUGGUAAUUGCCUGAUUCACAGCGUGCUCUUUUUGCUCCUGGUUUCGAUGGUUAAUGUUCCUGGGGUCAAAAUUCUGUGAUUGCUUUAAUGUGUUUUUAAAAAUUGUUUGUAUUUUUCUGUGAGGACCACAAACACAAGUGCAAGAAGAAAAUAAUAGCUAAGAGGGAAGGGAAAAGGAAAAGAAGACAGUAUGGUUACUUGGCCAUUUCACCCUUUCUCUAGUUUAGCUUGCCUUUUAGGGUCAGCCUUCUCCACAACUCUGAAUUUAGUCCCACAGAGCAGAUUUCCCAGCCCUGCUGGCUGCACUUUAACUCCCGCAUCUGAAUUAUCCGAGGGGUCUAGAGGGGUGUCUGAAUAGAUUCAUGAUUAAAAUGAUUACUUUCAGCAGACAAUUGUGGCUCUGAUGGGCAGGCAGAGCUCAGAGCAGGCAUUCUCAGGGCCUUUUUCUACCCCGUCCUUUAGGAAUCUGUUAGCUGAGGUUGCCAAUGUCACUCUGCAAUGAUUUUUGUUAAGUUCUUGCUUUUUGUAAACUUAAAGGUCAAUCAGAAAGAAACAAACUGGUAUGCACGUGUAGCUCAUGAACAGAAAUUCUGGUUUUCCUGCUUUCUCAGAGCAGCCUGAGACUUAGCACUGUGGACCAUCCCCAGGGACCCAUUGCCAAUGCUGCUGUUGCAGAAGACACAAAGACACGUUUACUGUCUGAAGGAGAGGAUGCAGCCACAUCACUCCUCGGUCCGUCUGCCAACCGCUCCGUGGCCAAACGAUGCUAUGGAAAAUGAGCCCCUUGCCAACCCUAAAGGGAAGCUGUAUUGCUUCUUGCCAGGAGGAUGGAAAGAGCCAUGCAGCUGGCACAGGCUUCAUGCUUCUGAUACUGAUAGAACAAGUUCUUGUCAGGGUAGUGUCUGUGCAUUAGCUAUUGGUCAGAAGGCCUUGCUCAAGUCCUUCCACUUGAUGCUGAACAAGCCAACAUCAGAUGUUUGUCACCAAACCCAAUGCCCUGGCUCAAAGCAAAAGCAGUGAGGAAAGCUCCCAGCUGAACCCAACGUUACUCAGGAGAAAAGAGAAACUGUAAAGCAAACUGGAAGAAAAUGGAGCUGUGAGUGUGAACAUACACAGCUCUGUACCCCUGCAGGAUUAACAAAGGCUGGAACUGAAGACUGAGGACCAGUUCCCUGCAUGCUGCUGCUGUUCUGAUAACAUCUCUCAGAACUCCAAUCUUCGAAGACUAAUUUUAAUGACCUUGGUAGUAAGUUUGGAUUAUUACAGGUUAUUUUUUGUAUUCCAUUGUUCAGCUUCAGCAACAAGGUUAGUAUUUUAUCAUAUCCUCAAUUCAGACUGCUCAGUGACAAGUGCUGGGCCAUAUGUAUGCUUAAUCUUUUCCAGUGCCUGGAAAAAGUUUGACUUUCCCUAUGUUCAGCACAGUAACCUCAGUGUCUGUGGUGUGUUUUUCUCUGGUGAUGUACUAAGUGAAAGUGAAGCUCCCCAGCCAUGCUGCUCCCCACAGAGGGGGAUAUGAGCUGAGAACCACAGAUCUGAGACCUCUGUGUCCCAAGCAUGUUGGAGCUGGGGAAGGAGGGGAGAGGGCACUGCUGUGCAACAGCCUUCACACUGCUAAAAAUGCGUGUAUUUAACCCUCAUCAACAAUUGCUGCCAUUAAAUUCAGCAGUGUAAGCAUGCACAGUUCACAAACAAUCAGUGCAAAGGAAAUUGAAGCCAAUAUUUGAACAGGACAAAACAGUCACCAGACAGAUUCUCAGAGAUAAAAGGAGAAGAGACUCCUAUCAAUACUGUAAUCCACUGCUUCCAGAGUACUACAGUGCACUCUUGACCUGGCACAGGAAUGUAUCCUGAAGGGGAAUAGCAAUUGGUGCAGUGAAAUUGGAGGUCACAACUGGGAGGUGCUCAUUUUGCUCAAUCUCAUUCAACCCACUUUAGAAAGCAAUAAAACAUUAAAAAUAACGCUUUUUAUUUCAUACCAAAAGAUCAGCAGCUACGAAGCUGGGAACCACUGUGGCUGCAUUACCAGCCUAAGGAAAAGCCACUGAUCAGAUAAGGGAUUAACACAACCUGAGCUCCUGCGUGAGCUCGAGGCAGCCCAUAGUUGGAUGUGAUGAUCGUGGAGGUAUUUCCCAACCCUAAUGGUUGGGCAUUACAAAAAUAAGCCCAUUUCCCCUUCCGUGUCUCACUCAAAGCCUGAGGUUGCUCACUGGCAGCCCACAGCUCGGGGGGCUCUGAGUAGAAGCUGGAGGUUGAGAGGUGAUGUUCACAUGUGUCAGCCCCCCAGUGCCAGGGGACAAGCAGUGUGUCUGCCUGCCCAUUGCCCCAAUGCCACCUCCUGUGCAUCCCUCACCAGGCAGUGACCUGGUGGCUGCCUGGCUGUGUUCCCUGCCACUGACCACACAGCAGCUGGUAGAGACAACAGCUUUGAACCGCUCCUGUCAUCAGGCCGCAAGCAAGGUGGUUGUUAUGCAGGACAUAAACCUCAAG